AUACGGAGGGUGCAAGCGUUAUUCGGAAUCACUGGGCGUAAAGGACGCGUAGGCGGGUUGGCAAGUCAGAUGUGAAAUCCUACAGCUUAACUGUAGAACUGCAUUUGAAACUGCUAACCUAGAGUAUGGGAGGGGGAGAUGGAAUUAGUGGUGUGGGGGUAAAAUCCGUAGAUAUCACUAGGAAUACCGAAAGCGAAGGCGAUCUCCUGGAACAUAACUGACGCUAAGGCGUGAAAGCGUGGGGAGCAAACAGGAUUAGAAACCCUAGUAGUCC
rnacentral:rRNA from 1 species